rnacentral:sRNA from 1 species
CCCAGGGCUGCGCCCUGGGCUAAUAUGACUCGCGCCGUUGGCGCU